rnacentral:rRNA from 1 species
CUUUCCCUCUUUCUUCAUGCCUUACACAUGCAAGUCGAACGGCAACAUGGGGAGUUUGACCUGUUGGCGUUUGCGGCAGGCGGGAGUGUUACACGUGAAUAAGCUACUUAUUAGGCUGGGGCAAGUUCGAAGCAGCGUUGAUACCACAGGCUAACUAAUUGUACCGGAUGGUGCACUAGUGAAAGACGGCUUUGCUGUUACCUAAAGACGGAUCCGCGACUCAUUAGCUAGUUGGUAAGGUAACGGCCUACCAAGGCGACGAUGCGUAGCCGGCCUGAGAGGGUGAUCAGCCACACUGGAACUGAGACACGGUCCAGACUCCUACGGGAGGCAGCAGUGGGGAAUCUUCGGCAAUGGGCGAAAGCCUGACCGAGCAACGCCGCGUGAGUGAAGAAGGUCUUCGGGUUGUAAAGCUCUUUUGUUGGGAAAGAAAAAAUUUGUACUAAUACGUGCACGUCUUGACGGUACCGAAAGAAUAAGCACCGGCUAACUACGUG